rnacentral:rRNA from 1 species
GAGGAGGCAGCAGUAAGGAAUCUUGCGCAAUGGGCGAAAGCCUGACGCAGCAACGCCGCGUGUGUGAUGAAGGUCUUCGGAUCGUAAAGCACUGUCGCGAGGGACGAAUAAGGGGCGGGCGAAUAUCCCGUUCCGAUGACGGUACCUCGAGAGGAAGCACCGGCUAACUCUGUGCCAGCAGCCGCGGUAAUACAGAGGGUGCAAGCGUUGUUCGGAAUUAUUGGGCGUAAAGCGCGUGUAGGCGGCCAUGCAAGUCGGGUGUGAAAGCCCUCGGCUUAACCGAGGAAGUGCGCCCGAAACUACAUGGCUUGAGUACCGGAGAGGGUGGCGGAAUUCCCGGUGUAGAGGUGAAAUUCGUAGAUAUCGGGAGGAACACCAGCGGCGAAGGCGGCCACCUGGACGGAUACUGACGCUGAGACGCGAAAGCGUGGGGAGCAAACAGGAUUAGAUACCCGAGUAGUCC